CGCGGAAAAAGCGGCUGAAU
rnacentral:miRNA from 1 species